rnacentral:rRNA from 1 species
ACUACGGGGGGCAGCAGUGGGGGAUAUUGGACAAUGGGGGGAACCCUGAUCCAGCGACGCCGCGUGAGUGAAGAAGUAUUUCGGUAUGUAAAGCUCUGUCAGCAGGGAAGAAGGAAAUGACGGUACCUGACCAAGAAGCCCCGGCUAACUACGUGCCAGCAGCCGCGGGAAUACGUAGGGGGCAAGCGUUAGCCGGAAUUACUGGGGGUAAAGGACGCGUAAACGGUUAAGUAAGUCUGGAGUGAAAGGCCGGGGCCCAACCCCGUGACUGCUCUGGAAACUAUUGAACUUGAGUGCAGGAGAGGUAAGCGGAAUUCCUAGUGUAGCGGUGAAAUGCGUAGAUAUUAGGAGGAACACCAGUGGCGAAGGCGGCUUACUGGACUGUAACUGACGUUGAGGCUCGAAAGCGUGGGGAGCAAACAGGAUUAGAUACCCUAGUAGUC